CGCGUAGGCGGUUUUUUAAGUCUGAUGUGAAAGCCCACGGCUCAACCGUGGAGGGUCAUUGGAAACUGGAAAACUUGAGUGCAGAAGAGGAAAGUGGAAUUCCAUGUGUAGCGGUGAAAUGCGCAGAGAUAUGGAGGAACACCAGUGGCGAAGGCGACUUUCUGGUCUGUAACUGACGCUGAUGUGCGAAAGCGUGGGGAUCAAACA
rnacentral:rRNA from 1 species